rnacentral:rRNA from 1 species
UACGAAGGGUGCAAGCGUUACUCGGAAUUACUGGGCGUAAAGCGUGCGUAGGUGGUUCGUUAAGUCUGAUGUGAAAGCCCUGGGCUCAACCUGGGAAUGGCAUUGGAAACUGGCGACCUAGAGUGCGGUAGAGGGUAGUGGAAUUCCCGGUGUAGCAGUGAAAUGCGUAGAGAUCGGGAGGAACAUCCGUGGCGAAGGCGACUACCUGGACCAGCACUGACACUGAGGCACGAAAGCGUGGGGAGCAAACAGGG